CAGUAGCCACGGUAAUACGUAGGUGGCAAGCGUUGUCCGGAAUUAUUGGGCGUAAAGGGCUCGCAGGCGGUUUCUUAAGUCUGAUGUGAAAGCCCCCGGCUCAACCGGGGAGGGUCAUUGGAAACUGGGAAACUUGAGUGCAGAAGAGGAGGGUGGAAUUCCACGUGUAGCGGUGAAAUGCGUAGAGAUGUGGAGGAACACCAGUGGGGAAGGCGACUCUCUGGUCUGUAACUGACGCUGAGGAGCGAAAGCGUGGGGAGCGAACAGGAUUAGAUACCCCCGUAGUCCCUGUCUCUUAUAC
rnacentral:rRNA from 1 species